rnacentral:rRNA from 1 species
UAACCGGUACGGGCCGUGAGAGCGGAAGCCCGGAGAUGGAUACUGAGACAAGGAUNNCAGGCCUUACGAGGCGCAGCAGUUGCGAAAACUCCACAAUGCACGAAAGUGUGAUGGNGGCUACCCCGAGGUGCCGUCCGCUGAGGAUGGCUUUUCUCUGCUGUAAGGAAGCGGAGGAAUAAGGAGAGGGCAAGUCUGGUGUCAGCCGCCGCGGUAAUACCAGCUCUCCGAGUGGUAGGGAUGAUUAUUGGGCUUAAAGCGUCCGUAGCCGGCUUGACAAGUCUUCUGUUAAAUCCAGCAACCCAANNAAAAAAGGACUGCGGAAGAUACUGCCUAGCUAGAGAACGGGAGGGGUCGACGGUACUCUCAGGGUAGGAGUGAAAUCCUAUAAUCCUGGGAGGACCACCAGUGGCGUAGGCUGUCGACUAGAACGUGUCUGACGGUGGGGGACGAAAGCUUGGGGAGCGAACCGGAUUAGAUACCCGGGUAGUCCAAGCUGUAAACGAUGCGGGCUAGGUGUUGGGGUGGCUACGUGCCACUUCAGUGCCGCAGGGAAACCGNUAAGCCCG